CCUACGGGGGGCUGCAGUAACGAAUCUUCGGCAAUGCGCGCAAGCGUGACCGAGCGACGCCGCGUGGAGGAUGAAGUCCUUCGGGAUGUAAACUCCUGUCAGGGGUUACCAAGUUCUGAGGAGCCCCAGAGGAAGUGGCGGCUAACUCUGUGCCAGCAGCCGCGGUAAGACAGAGGCCACAAGCGUUAGGCGGAAUCACUGGGCUUAAAGCGUGUGUAGGCGGAUCGUUAAGUGCUUUGUGAAAUCCCUCGGCUCAACCGGGGAACUGCUUGGCAUACUGGCGAUCUUGAGCCAUCUAGGGGCGACUGGAACAGACGGUGGAGCGGUGAAAUGCGUAGAUAUCGUCUGGAACGCCAAAGGUGAAAACAGGUCGCUGGGGAUGAGCUGACGCUGAGACACGAAAGCCAGGGGAGCAAACGGGCUUAGAUACCCCGGUAGUC
rnacentral:rRNA from 1 species